rnacentral:rRNA from 1 species
GCAUAUCAAUAAGCGGAGGAAAAGAAACCAACAGGGAUUGCCCUAGUAACGGCGAGUGAAGCGGCAACAGCUCAAAUUUGAAAUCUGGCGUCUUUGGCGUCCGAGUUGUAAUUUGCAGAGGGCGCUUUGGCAUUGGCAGCGGUCCAAGUUCCUUGGAACAGGACGUCACAGAGGGUGAGAAUCCCGUACGUGGUCGCUAGCCUUUACCGUGUAAAGCCCCUUCGACGAGUCGAGUUGUUUGGGAAUGCAGCUCUAAAUGGGAGGUAAAUUUCUUCUAAAGCUAAAUACUGGCCAGAGACCGAUAGCGCACAAGUAGAGUGAUCGAAAGAUGAAAAGCACUUUGGAAAGAGAGUUAAAAAGCACGUGAAAUUGUUGAAAGGGAAGCGCUUGCAGCCAGACUUGCCUGUAGUUGCUCAUCCGGGUUUUUACCCGGUGCACUCUUCUACGGGCAGGCCAGCAUCAGUUUGGGCGGUUGGAUAAAGGUCUCUGUCAUGUACCUCCUCUCGGGGAGAUCUUAUAGGGGAGACGACAUGCAACCAGCCUGGACUGAGGUCCGCGCAUCUGCUAGGAUGCUGGCGUAAUGGCUGUAAGCGGCCCGUCUUGAAACACGGACCAAGGAGUCUAACAUCUAUGCGAGUGUUUGGGUGUCAAGCCCGAACGCGUAAUGAAAGUGAACGGAGGUGGGAACCUUUCGGGGUGCACCAUCGACCGAUCCUGAUGUCUUCGGAUGGAUUUGAGUAAGAGCAUAGCUGUUGGGACCCGAAAGAUGGUGAACUAUGCUUGAAUAGGGUGAAGCCAGAGGAAACUCUGGUGGAGGCUCRCAGCGGUUCUGACGUGCAAAUCGAUCGUCAAAUUUGGGCAUAGGGGCGAAAGACUAAUCGAACUAUCUAGUAGCUGGUUCCUGCCGAAGU